GUGGCACUUAUUUUGCCCACGGAAAGGUUAGUUUAUUUCCUACGGUCGAACGGUUCGGAUCGAAUUUGAACGGAAGUGGCGACGGGGCUGUCCACGUGGUUGGUUGAUUCGCUUGCGGUUUGAACAGGUGUGCGCGCGUGUCGCGGUGUUUGUGGUGUUGCCUACCUUGCAGGCGCAUUCCGUCUCGCGGUGGAUGGUCGUCGUCUGACCAUAAUUAUCGCGAUUUCGCCUUCUGCCACUGGCUGAACUGGGAGCGAAAAGUUUUGAUGGCGUGAUUCAGGGCAAAGCGGUGCGGUGCCCGGUUUGUUAACCUGUGAUUACGAACCAUACAGCAAAGGUUCGGUCGACAAAGAAAAAGGGCUGCAUCGGAAGAACAAAGUCAGUGAGUGAAACAAGUUUGUAACGGAAACGGAAUGAAUAGGGAACAGUUAGGUUACGUGGCAGCGGAUAUUGAUCGAUAACGAUAAGUGAAAUUUGAUGUCCGUUGAUAUCAUCGUUGCAACGGGUCGAAGUGGGGCGAGAUUGUGCUCGUUAUGGAAAUGAUUAUCGCUGUGAGUGAAAAGAUUGCUCCUGCAGUUCAUUCGGAGAUUUUUCUGGAAGUCCCAAAAAAAUGACCACGUGGUUUAUGGACAGCCCCCUACCAGGAUCUCGUGGAUUACAAUGAGGCAAGGUUUCCAACAUCUCACUGCGCGUCGUUGAUUGCUGAUAGCGAUCAUCAAUACUGUGCCUCCGAAUUACCCUCAUUUCACCCAAACAAAGUGAAAUUCCAAACACAUAGUUGCUGUUCGUGGCCUUGAAAGGCUAGAGUGAAAAAAGUGAGCACUUUAUGAAAAUUUGUGAGUUUGGUAACGAUGAUGAAGCUGAUUGAAGUUGUUUAUCAACCUGCAAAGAAGUUAUUCUAGCAUAGCAACGAUAAAAGGGAAAAAUAACACCCCGGCAUAAAUGUAACGACAAGACGGAUUAAUUUUGGAUUUAUAUCCCUUGUCGUUUGUGUUGUGCCACCAAUCCAGCGAAGUGGUAUGCAUAGCCUAGUCAGUCAUCAAGGCCAAGGAGCAAACAUGCCAGGUACACCGACGACGACGACGUCAUCAUCAUUGGUUUCAACAGCGCCAGCAGCUGUCGUUCAUGAAGAUGAAGAAUCGAUGCGUUGCCAGGUGAGUGGAAAGUGGGCCAUCUUGGGCACCGAGGAGGGAUGGGAAAUGCUGUUUUUAUGUAAAUAAAUGACUGGGAAUGUUCCUCCGCAGUGGUGCCUCUUGCGUGACCUGUCCAAAUAUAUUAUUGUGGGAAAAUGGCCUGGGAAAAGCUGGUUUGGUUGUUUUGCGAAAAUAUUUUCGGAAAAUGUGUGUAGGCAAUAGGCAUCUAGUUUUUGUGCUCGAAGGAGUGUGAUUGUUGUUUUGCCUUCUGUUUCUAGUGUCGUCGGUGGAGAAGUAGGUAGGGUGACAUUGGGUAUUAUCGGCAGGUUUGUUCUCUCCGUCAUGGGGGGUUUUUGUCAGCCAAAUUGUCUGAAACUUGGCCAUAUAAUUCACAUUGGUUGGGAAGGAUUUGAGGCCAACUCUGAGUUCAAUAGGUUUCAAAAAACCUACCAAGACGAAGAGAACAAAACGGCCGAGAAUAGGUAAUUUCCCCUAUUUGCUAAAAAUAUUUGCUAACUAUGUUUAGUCGAUUGCAGCCAUAAAGGUCUUUGUUUGGGACAUCACAAAUGGACACGAAAAUUCGGCAUUGUUAAUACUGAAUGGUGGGUGUAAUAUAACAAGGAAAGAUAAUUGAUGCGGAAGAUUGUUUUUCCCAAGGGUGAUGUCAAGGUGGCGUGAAACCUUGCAUACGUUUUGUACAAAACUUAAGAUUGUUGAACAUAUGGUAAAUUUUUUUACCAAAAACAACCAAUGGUCAAACAUCUGGUUUGACUCGAUCGAUUUUUUAUUACUGUAAAACAGAUGGUUACUCUUGAGUUUAUUACUUGUCAAAUACUUACCACGUGUACUCGGGGCCAUAGCAUAGCAUAAACGCUUAUGCAAAUCGUGGAUGCAUUUACAAAGACACAUUCUCAUUGCCAUAGCAGAUUACUAUAAACAAUAACAC